rnacentral:rRNA from 1 species
UGGGGAAUUUUGGACAAUGGGCGAAAGCCUGAUCCAGCAAUGCCGCGUGUGUGAAGAAGGCCUUCGGGUUGUAAAGCACUUUUGUCCGGAAAGAAAUCCUUGGCUCUAAUACAGUCGGGGGAUGACGGUACCGGAAGAAUAAGCACCGGCUAACUACGUGCCAGCAGCCGCGGUAAUACGUAGGGUGCAAGCGUUAAUCGGAAUUACUGGGCGUAAAGCGUGCGCAGGCGGUUUGCUAAGACCGAUGUGAAAUCCCCGGGCUCAACCUGGGAACUGCAUUGGUGACUGGCAGGCUAGAGUAUGGCAGAGGGGGGUAGAAUUCCACGUGUAGCAGUGAAAUGCGUAGAGAUGUGGAGGAAUACCGAUGGCGAAGGCAGCCCCCUGGGCCAAUACUGACGCUCAUGCACGAAAGCGUGGGGGGCAAACAGGAUUAGAUACCCUGGUAGUCCACGCCCUAAACGAUGUCAACUAGUUGUUGGGGAUUCAUUUCCUUAGUAACGUAGCUAACGCGUGAAGUUGACCGCCUGGGGAGUACGGUCGCAAGAUUAAAACUCAAAGGAAUUGACGGGGUCAUAGCUGUUUCCU